GGGAAUGUGAAUACUUUGAAAAAGUAUAUUUCUGUUUUAGGUUAGAUGGCCUCUCGAAGAGAUGUGUCUUUAAGAAUCCCCAUAGUAAAAAGUACUUUCAGGUUCGAUCUUCUCCAACUUUACACGUAAGACUGUAAGCUGUGAUAUUUUUAUUUAUUUUUUAUAUAUAUAUAUUUUGUAAUGGAUUUUUCUCAGCAAUCUCUAGUUUCUGGUUAUAGUACUAAAUAUUGUAGUUAUCCCAAUUGUUCUAACAAAUAUCUUAUUGUUAAAAAUUUCAAUUUUAAGAAUAAGUCUUUUUUUAAACCACCAUUAAAUUCAGAUAUUAAUCUAUCUUGGCGUUCUAUUUGUGAUAUUAAAAGUUCUGUAAAAACGUUUUAUAUAUGUGAGGAUCAUUUUUUAUCUUCAGAUUUUA